rnacentral:rRNA from 1 species
GUACGACGGAGCACGUGAAAUUCCGUCGGAAUCUGGGAGGACCAUCUCCUAAGGCUAAAUACUCUCUAGUGACCGAUAGUGAACCAGUACCGUGAGGGAAAGGUGAAAAGCACCCCGGAAGGGGAGUGAAAUAGAACCUGAAACCGUGUGCUUACAAGUAGUCAGAGCCCGUUAAUGGGUGAUGGCGUGCCUUUUGUAGAAUGAACCGGCGAGUUACGAUUUGAUGCAAGGUUAAGCAGUAAAUGUGGAGCCGUAGCGAAAGCGAGUCUGAAUAGGGCGUUUAGUAUUUGGUCGUAGACCCGAAACCAGGUGAUCUACCCUUGGUCAGGUUGAAGUUCAGGUAACACUGAAUGGAGGACCGAACCGACUUACGUUGAAAAGUGAGCGGAUGAACUGAGGGUAGCGGAGAAAUUCCAAUCGAACCUGGAGAUAGCUGGUUCUCUCCGAAAUAGCUUUAGGGCUAGCCUCAAGUGAUGAUUAUUGGAGGUAGAGCACUGUUUGGACGAGGGGCCCCUCUCGGGUUACCGAAUUCAGACAAACUCCGAAUGCCAAUUAAUUUAACUUGGGAGUCAGAACAUGGGUGAUAAGGUCCGUGUUCGAAAGGGAAACAGCCCAGACCACCAGCUAAGGUCCCAAAAUAUAUGUUAAGUGGAAAAGGAUGUGGCGUUGCCCAGACAACUAGGAUGUUGGCUUAGAAGCAGCCAUCAUUUAAAGAGUGCGUAAUAGCUCACUAGUCGAGUGACACUGCGCCGAAAAUGUACCGGGGCUAAACAUAUUACCGAAGCUGUGGAUUGUCCUUUGGACAAUGGUAGGAGAGCGUUCUAAGGGCGUUGAAGCAUGAUCGUAAGGACAUGUGGAGCGCUUAGAAGUGAGAAUGCCGGUGUGAGUAGCGAAAGACGGGUGAGAAUCCCGUCCACCGAUUGACUAAGGUUUCCAGAGGAAGGCUCGUCCGCUCUGGGUUAGUCGGGUCCUAAGCUGAGGCCGACAGGCGUAGGCGAUGGAUAACAGGUUGAUAUUCCUGUACCACCUAUAAUCGUUUUAAUCGAUGGGGGGACGCAGUAGGAUAGGCGAAGCGUGCGAUUGGAUUGCACGUCUAAGCAGUAAGGCUGAGUAUUAGGCAAAUCCGGUACUCGUUAAGGCUGAGCUGUGAUGGGGAGAAGACAUUGUGUCUUCGAGUCGUUGAUUUCACACUGCCGAGAAAAGCCUCUAGAUAGAAAAUAGGUGCCCGUACCGCAAACCGACACAGGUAGUCAAGAUGAGAAUUCUAAGGUGAGCGAGCGAACUCUCGUUAAGGAACUCGGCAAAAUGACCCCGUAACUUCGGGAGAAGGGGUGCUCUUUAGGGUUAACGCCCAGAAGAGCCGCAGUGAAUAGGCCCAAGCGACUGUUUAUCAAAAACACAGGUCUCUGCUAAACCGUAAGGUGAUGUAUAGGGGCUGACGCCUGCCCGGUGCUGGAAGGUUAAGAGGAGUGGUUAGCUUCUGCGAAGCUACGAAUCGAAGCCCCAGUAAACGGCGGCCGUAACUAUAACGGUCCUAAGGUAGCGAAAUUCCUUGUCGGGUAAGUUCCGACCCGCACGAAAGGCGUAACGAUUUGGGCACUGUCUCAACGAGAGACUCGGUGAAAUCAUAGUACCUGUGAAGAUGCAGGUUACCCGCGACAGGACGGAAAGACCCCGUGGAGCUUUACUGUAGCCUGAUAUUGAAAUUCGGCACAGCUUGUACAGGAUAGGUAGGAGCCUUUGAAACGUGAGCGCUAGCUUACGUGGAGGCGCUGGUGGGAUACUACCCUAGCUGUGUUGGCUUUCUAACCCGCACCACUUAUCGUGGUGGGAGACAGUGUCAGGCGGGCAGUUUGACUGGGGCGGUCGCCUCCUAAAAGGUAACGGAGGCGCUCAAAGGUUCCCUCAGAAUGGUUGGAAAUCAUUCAUAGAGUGUAAAGGCAUAAGGGAGCUUGACUGCGAGACCUACAAGUCGAGCAGGGUCGAAAGACGGACUUAGUGAUCCGGUGGUUCCGCAUGGAAGGGCCAUCGCUCAACGGAUAAAAGCUACCCCGGGGAUAACAGGCUUAUCUCCCCCAAGAGUUCACAUCGACGGGGAGGUUUGGCACCUCGAUGUCGGCUCAUCGCAUCCUGGGGCUGUAGUCGGUCCCAAGGGUUGGGCUGUUCGCCCAUUAAAGCGGUACGCGAGCUGGGUUCAGAACGUCGUGAGACAGUUCGGUCCCUAUCCGUCGUGGGCGUAGGAAAUUUGAGAGGAGCUGUCCUUAGUACGAGAGGACCGGGAUGGACAUACCUCUGGUGUACCAGUUGUCGUGCCAACGGCAUAGCUGGGUAGCUAUGUGUGGACGGGAUAAGUGCUGAAAGCAUCUAAGCAUGAAGCCCCCCUCAAGAUGAGAUUUCCCAACUUCGGUUAUAAGAUCCCUCAAAGAUGAUGAGGUUAAUAGGUUCGAGGUGGAAGCAUGGUGACAUGUGG